AGGGCGUCACGGCUUAGAUCUGGAGAUGCACUGCGAAACCUGCCAUCCUUGUCCUCCAACAAGUUGCCCAGGCCUGCUCCCAGAUCGCCGAUAUCGGCUGCCAUCCUUGGCUCAUCCCAUGCCACCGGCUUUCUACCCAUCUCAAUGUCACCGACGGCUCUCCCCAUGUUUGGACUCAUGAAACCAUUGGUUGGGCGAGGCCUCAGACCUUGCUCCUGUGGAACUGGGACUCUGGCGCGGAAGUUGUUCUUGGAGGCAGGAAUUGCAGAGAAGAAUAUAUCUUUAAUGUUCUCCAUGACUCCCCUGUUGUAUGGGUUGGCCCGUUGAUCAUACCGAUACCUGAAGUUCUCAUAUGUUGUCUACAGAAGCAGAGGAAAAGGUAAACAAUUAACUGAAUACAUACACCAUGCAAGACUAGGAAUAUAUGCUUGCAGUUUCAGGAAACAGUAUUUACCUGGUUGGUGCUCAUGAGAUA
rnacentral:sRNA from 1 species